CCCAAAUAUCAGCUUUAUCUUCACAUUCCAAAUGGCAGAAGAACAGUUGCCUAAUCAUUCUGGAGAUUUUGUGUUACAGGCCCAAGCACAUGAAGAAACUGAUGCAAUCAGAUGGUGUUUCCAUUCCAAAUUCCUAGGGAAGAGAAGCUGAUCAGUCCAGUUGGGGGUCCACCGUCCAUACCUCAGCUCCAAUCAUCUAUGGCCAGGGAGUCAGGAGCCCAUUGUACAGACAUGGAUGUCGAGGCUCACUCCUGCCUACCUGAGGAUGGGGAUAAAAGAGGAGAUCUCAAAGGGCAGAAGAAGAGGAGUGUCAUGGCCUGGAGUUACCAAAGGUGUCAUUCUACUUUACAUUCCUUUACAGGGGAGAAAGGAAAUUAAUAUAUUUUAGAAUAAUUUUCAGUAACCAGUGUCACCACCUAAAAAGUUUUCUGCAUAUCCCAUGGCUAAGACAAAAUUCAAUCUAGUUAGCUAAACAUAUUUUGCCCUGCAUCCUAAUUUUAGCAGAAACAGAUGGUUGCCUACCUAACAGCUUAUUCCCCUUCCUUCUUCACUGGCAGGAUCCCACACAUAUUUGGGUGUCCAUCCCUCCCUCAUAUCAGUCCUAGAAAGGUCACCUUAUCCUUGUGUUUAGAAGUAAAUUAGUCUAAUGGUUGUAUUGUGAUUGAUCCCUUUUGGUUUAGACAUGGGCAUAUGACACAAUUAUGACCAAUAAAACAUGAUGAGGAAUCUUUGCCUUCUACAAGGAUAUUUUUCUCAUUGAUAGAAAGAAACUCACAGGAACACUUCCUAUUCUAACAUUUUAGUAUCUGGGUGCGAUGCUUGGAACUGUUGCAGCCAUAUUACGACCAUGAGGGGACCUAGUAUGAGGAUAAGAGAACUGAAAUAUGCAAAGAAUUGGCCCUUUGAUGACCCAUUUGAGCUACUGAGUUAACCCAACUGGGACUGCUUUACCUCUGGGAUUCUUGUUUAAUUAAUUAAUUUUGUAUGGCUGCACCUGUGGCAUAUGGAGUUUCCUGGACCAGGGGUCGAAUCCGAACUGCAGCUGCAACCCAUGCUGGAUCUAUAACCCAUUGCACCACAGUGGGAACUUCCUCUAUUUAUUUAUUUAAAAAGUUUAUGUAUAAUUGACCUAUAAAUUAUAUUGAUAUCAGACAUGCAACAUAAUGAUUUGAUAGUUGUAUAUAUUGCCAAAUGGUCAAAAUAAGUCUAUUUAACAUCUGCCACUGUAUACAGUUUAAAUUUUGUUUUCUUGUAAUGAGAGCUUUUAAGAUUCUUGUUACUUGAUGAAAGAAAUAUUAAGUCAGCUGGGUUGAUUUUUAAUUUUUUGUUACUUGCAUCCCCAUACAUCUUAAUUGAUAUACUCCUAAUUAAUAUAUAUCACAAAGCCACAAAAAGGCAUGCUUUGAUAAAAGCUGAAUUUAGAAACUAGAGAAUAAUUCUGAAAAUGCUCAGGAGAAGGUGUCCCUUAGGCCAUACUGGUAUAGAGAGCUAAGACAUCAUGAAACAUUUCUCAUGUCCCAGAGCCUCAUCAAGACACAGAAUUUUGCAAGCAGACCAACAUUAUUUCUUUAACAUUAUAGAAAGCAACUGAAAGAAAUUAUUUGUUUCGAGUAGCUUUUUUAUGCUUCAAAGUCCUUGCUCCUUUAGACGUGGAGUUGGACAAGUUUAAAGUAGUUUCAUUGUGCGUUCUGCUUGCUCAAGUUUGAUAGGCUGUGUUUGCAUGACAGGUCUGUCCCUGCAGUGAGUGUUGGGGAUGCUUUGAUGUGGGUUGCAUUUGGACAGCCUAAUACUUGGGGAAAAAUGUGCUGAAAUUGAACAAGAUUGCUUUUUGCCCAGCUGUUCUCUAAAGGCUCAGACAUUUUUAGCACUGAGCAAAGAAGCUUGUAUUUGUUUUGACAGUCUUGGCAGGCAGAACAAUGGUUGAUUAUCCCAGCACUUUACUAACAAAUAAGCCUGCCUCCAGCAGAGAUAAAAUAUGGGUCUUGACUUGAUUGCAUUUCAUGUCCAAGGGAAUUAUCUUCUACUCAUUCUGAUGCCCUUUCGUUAUGCAAUGUACCUUUUUCUUCCUUUAUCUUUGCCCUGCAUGGUAACCCUUGGCUUUCACUCUGAGAAGGCAGAUUCCCAAAAUCCCCAUGGGCAGGGUGGUUUGAUUAUCAUAUAAAACAUGUAUUUUUACUUCUCCAAUUUGAUUUCUUAGAAACAUUUUGUUUGUUUUUGGUUCUCCAGAUUUGUAUGGCUAGUUUUCUUCAAUUUUCUGUCUGUUCUUCUUUGGCAUUUGUUUAUGUUGCUGAGACUGGUGUAGCAUGUAGAAGUCUCUGAUUUUACAUCAUAACUGCAUUUAAAAGGUCUACCCCAGGUGUCUUCUUCACCCAUACAGAGCAGUGCUUUACACAGAGCAAUUUUGUCUUCUUCAAAACAAAGGGACUUUUAGUUUUAUGAAAACAUUUCUAUUUUUUUCUCUGUUAUUUGCCUUCCACAAGAUUUUAAGAAUUAAAUGUUUUAUAAAGUAUAACAUAUUCAGGUAAGGGUACGGCUCAAUGGAGUUUCACAAAGUAAACACAUAGAUGUGACCAGCGACCCCUCAGGCCCCCUCACAGUCAUCAUCUCCCCCCUCUAUCACCACCUGCCUCUUCCCAAAGGUAACAACUGUUUUGAUGUCUGCUGUCACAUGCAUUUUUCCUCCUUUUGCUCCUCAAUAUUAUGUACUGCUAUCACAUUUUUGUGCAUGACUUUGGGUGAAUACACAGGUACUUUUAGUUCUGUAUAUUGAAGAGCAGAAUUGUUGGGGGACCGGGCACAAAUAUCUUUACUUUGUUUCAAAUUAUGCUCUCACCAAAAAGGUGUGAAAAUUCAGUAUUAAUUCAAAUCCUUGCCAGAACUUGAUAUUGUCGGCCUUUUUCCCUUUUUUUAGGGCCAUACCUGUGGCAUAUGGAAAUUCCCAGGCGAGGGGUGGAACCACAGCAGCAGCUGCAGGCCCACAGCACAGACACAGCAACGCUGGAUCUGAGCUUUAUCUUCGAUCCAUGCCACAGCUUGCAGCAAUGCCGGAUCCUUAACCCAGUGAGAGAGGCCAAGGAUUGAACCUGCAUCCUCACAGAGACUAUGUUGGUUCCUUAACCCCCUGAGCCACAAAGGGAACGCCAUAGCCUUUUAAUUAUAAUAAUUCUGUUAAAUGCGUAGUGGCACUCAUUAUGGUUUUAUUUUGCAUAUUCAUGGUAAUCAAUGAGACUGAACACCUUUUAUCUUCAUUGGGCAGUUAGAGUGUCUCUUCUGUUAAGUAACUCGAACAAUUUUUGUCCUUUUUUUCUAAUGCAUAUAGUAAUAAUAUAUAUAUUUAUUAUUAAUUUGUAAGCCUUCUUUAUUAUGGAAAUGAAUUCUUUGUCAGGUAUGUAUAUUGUAAAUAUAUUCUCCCAUUCUGCAGGUUGCCUUUUUAUCAUAUCAUGGAAACUUUUGAUAAAUAGAAAUCAUUAAUGGUUUCAAACUUUUCAAUUUGAAAUAACUUUAGACAAACUUUAGACUUGCAAAUAGUAGAGUUCCUGUAUAUCCCUCAUCCAGCUUUCCCUAAUAGUAACAUAUUACAUAAUCAUAGUGCAAUUACUGAAGCCAGAAAACUAACAUUGUCACAAUACUAUUAACUAAUCCACAGACCUUAAUCUCAUUUUGUCAAUGGUCCACUACCACUUUUUUUUACAGGUCAGGAUCCAGUCCAGGAUCCAACAUUGCCUUAGAUUGUUGAGUCUUCUUGGUCUCUUGCAAUCUGUGGUAAUUCCUUAGUCUUUGUUUUUUUACAACCUUGACACUUUUGAAGAGUUAUUUUGUAGCAUGCCCCUCAGUUUGGGUUUGUCUGAUGUUUUCUUAUGAUUGGAAACACUAUUUUAAGCAUUGUAACUAUAAACAUGGUAUCUAAGUUUUGGUUUUCUGGGUACUUUUUUUGUCAUCCUUUUCAGCAUUCUGUUCUGAAUUUUGAUAAAUAUUUAAAGUCAUGCAACCACUAUCCCAAUCAACAUAUAAAACAGUCUUAUUAACCCCCUAAAAUUCCCUCAUGUGCCUUUGUAGUCAACUUCUUACCCUCAACCCCAAAUCCUGGCAACUAUCUAUCUGUUUUUUAUCCCCAUAGUUUUGUUUUUACAGAAUGUCAUAUAAAUAGCAUCAUACAAUGUGGAGCCUUUUGAGCCUGGCUUCUUUCACUUAGCAUAAUGCAUUUGAGAUACAUUCAUGUUUGUUUAUCAGUAUUUUUCAAAGUGGUCGUGGCAGUUUGCAUUACCACCAGCAAUACAGAAGAAUUCCAGGGGAGUACCUGCUGUGGCUCAGGGGUAACAAAUUUGACUAGUAUCCAUGACGAUGUGGGUUUACUCCCUGAUCCUACUCAGUGGGUUAAGGAUCUGGCAUUGCUGUGAACUAUGUAACUACCAUCUAACUUCUAACACAAUAUUUUAUAUAAAUAGAAUGAUGUACUAUGCAUUUUUGUGUUUUCUUUUGCU
rnacentral:lncRNA from 1 species